rnacentral:rRNA from 1 species
GACGAACGCUGGCGGCGUGCUUAACACAUGCAAGUCGAACGGAAAGGCCCUGCUUUUGUGGGGUGCUCGAGUGGCGAACGGGUGAGUAACACGUGAGUAACCUGCCCUUGACUUUGGGAUAACUUCAGGAAACUGGGGCUAAUACCGGAUAGGAGCUCCUGCUGCAUGGUGGGGGUUGGAAAGUUUCGGCGGUUGGGGAUGGACUCGCGGCUUAUCAGCUUGUUGGUGGGGUAGUGGCUUACCAAGGCUUUGACGGGUAGCCGGCAUGAGAGGGUGACCGGCCACAUAGGGAAUGAGAUACGGCCCAGACUCCUACGGGAGGCAGCAGUGGGGAAGAUUGCACAAUGGGCGGAAGCCUGAUGCAGCAACGCCGCGUGCGGGAUAACGGCCUUCGGGUUGUAAACCGCUUUCGCCUGUGACGAAGCGUGAGUGACGGUAAUGGGUAAAGAAGCACCGGCUAACUACGUG